ACAACCGGUUCCAGUGGUGGGAUUCAAAUAAUUUAACAACUGGUUGUUUACAAGCAUCAUUUUAACAACUGGUUCUGCUGAAGUGGUGCGAACCACCACUGGGUAUAAAUCCAAAACUCUUCCACUCUCUUCCGCUUACCUUGCACUGUAUCACUUUAAAUGUACGAAUUUGUCUUUUUAAAUGGAAGGGGCAGCAAGAACAACCCCCGAAUGCAGUUCAUUAAAGAUUCUGAAAAAAUCCAAAUGGAUAAUAUGUCAAGUAUGUAUGGGCCUUUCCCCACUUGCCGUAAGCCCCGUGCU